UCGGAUAUGGUGUAACGGCUAACAUUGCCGCCUUUCAUCAACCACUAAUAGGGUGCCAUCAGUAGUGCGUGGCAGCUCAGGGUUCGAUUCCCCGUAUCCGAA